UGUAUAUAUAUAUGCAAAACACAUAGACACAUAAAAUAAAAUUAAAACACACUAAGAAUGAAAGAUAACCCAAAGCUUAGCAAACAUUUCAACAUUCUUCCUUGAGAAUGCACAGAAGACCUGGAUGCACACACGCACAGCAGAGCUCAUUGCACAUGAUCUCUGAGCCUGUGUUCUCCUCUUUCUGGCUUGAAUAUCAGUCCUGGAGGCAAGUCUUUAAUGGAUGCUCAGAGAGUCAGAGGUGGGGGGAGAUCCCUGAAUAAGAAUUACCAGCACCUCUUCUCUACACAUACAGGAUCUCGACUUUUGAGGGCUCUGAGGAUACCCGGGAAUGUGGUACUUGUGUCUGUAGAGUUGCUGAACACGUGGGUGAAAAUCGAGAGACACUUCUUUGACGGCUUAGGAGAGCAUCGCUGGCAGAGUCACAAGGCUUCCUGCCCAGCAGUAGCUGGAGGCUGCUGCCUUGUGCUGUGGUUGAUUUAGUUAGUUUGGUUGGACUGAGAGCCGCCUAGGAGACUGGUAAUGCACACCCCCAGGCAAGCCUGUAAGGGAGACGAUUUAAUAGUCUAGAGACUAUUAAAAGACAAAGGCUCUCAACUAGUGGAUGCUCAGAUCCAUUGAUGGGUUUAAAAUUUGAAUAGGUGAUUGGAAGAUGCUGGGACUUGCUGCCCAAUUAGAGAAGUGGGUGUCUAGAGGCUUGGACUAGAGUUUUAGGGGCUAUAUCUUGCCCUAGACUCUUCUGGGGAUUCCCCUCUGCAUCCUGCCCACCAUGAUGUUGUUGGACUGUUCUGUGACACUGCACCUUCCCCACCUUGACAGAGUAACGCCUCUGAAAGCAGGAGCCCAAAUCAGUUAAGUUCUUUCCUCAAAUAUUUUGGUUAACUGCGUACAAGUAAUGAGUCAUGUGUCUGGUGUCACACUCACUUCAUGGGUCUGAAUGGAAUCCUCCUGCGUCUGUCCUCUUUCUGCGCUUUGCUGGGGUUUUGCUAGUGGGAUGAUGUCCUUCUUCCUCUGGGGCCUUUAAGUCUCACAUUGUCUGUGAGUUGUCCUUUCUCUCUGUACUUGGACAGUCAGCUACCCAGCCCUGGUUUCUGAGGACCGCCCUUUCUUCUUUGUCUCCAAAGCCAGGGUCCUUCUCCAGUUUCAGGGGCCUAUGAAGACCUAUCGUUAGACCCCCAUGAAUCUUCCAGGCACCUUCCUCUUCAUCCUAUAUCACAAAUGAUUACCAAGUGAAUCUUCUAUAUAAAAACAACGGUUCCACCUGUCAUCUAGUCUAGAGCUCUCAGACACAGUUGCGGCUGUGGUGGACUCCUGUUCUGCUAUCUGCAAUCUUUGUAUGAGAAAAGCCAGGAGCUGUUUCCUUAUGUUUUCUUCUUCUCGGAAUGCUCAGGCCAUCUCUGCUAAUGCAUCCAUCCCCCACCCCCUGCCCUACCAGGAGGGGGUCCUCAGUGUAGCUUGCCAAGCCACGAGCCCACUCUUAAUGGCUUAGACCACGGGUAGACACUUGAUUCAUGAGCAGCCAGCAUAGGCAGCCUGUCAUAAAGAGCUGCCCAUGCAGAACAGCCAGUGCUGGACAGAGGCCACCGAAUCAAUUUGGGCCUCUCCUGGGAGUCUCAUUCCUGAAGGGAGACGCUGAGCAGAGUCAGCGAGGGGCUGAGGAGGAGUCACCCAACCCAGAGUGACAGCCUUAGGGGCAGUGAGAUAACGUUGCUAGACGCACUGUCCUGAAUGAUCUCACCGGGCACUGGCUGUGCCUUUUGGUUUCUAUCGUCUGAUGUUUUGACAUCUUGGGGGCCUUCCUGACUGACUCUGGAGGGGGGACAUCUGGAUACCUUACUGACUGACUCUGGAGGGGGGACAUCUGGGGGCCUUACUGACUGACUCUGGAGGGGGAACAUCUGGAUGGAUACCUUACUGACUGACUCUGGAGGGGGACAUCUGGGGGCCUUCCUGACUGACUCUGGAGGGGGGACAUCUGGAUACCUUACUGACUGACUCUGGAGGGGGGGACAUCUGAGGGCCUUCCUGACUGACUCUGGAGGGGGGACAUCUGGGGGCCUUCCUGACUGACUCUGGAGGGGGAAGUCGUAGGGGAAGUAGCUAAUUGCCUCUCCUCUCCCACUCCAGCAUGGCUCUCAGAUGUAAACCAACCAGAGCCCCUGCCCUGCCCACCUCCUUUCCUGACUUCUCUUUCUCACAGGUACACUCCACCUUCCUCCAUCACUGCUAGUCCAGGUACCCAGCUCAGGGUAGUCCCUAGAGCCCAGACUUAAGAAGCAUAAUUUUCACCUAAGCUGAGCCUGCUUACUCUUCCAUGACCACUCCCUCCCACAAUGCCCAGUGACGCCCUGUACCCUUCUUCCUCCUCCCUCCUGACCAGGUGCUACCCUCGUGGUGCCCUGGGGUAUAGCAUGGUCCUUAUUCUUGGAACUGAAUGACCUGUCUUGUCAACAGCAGCUGCCUCCUGGUCUGCUGACCUCAUUUCUAAAAUCGGCAGGUUCUGCGUGACUCACUCAUCUCCGUGGAGUCUGGCUGUGUGGUUGUUCCUCUUCGAGGCAGGGCCGGGGCUCUUCCUGCCUUACCCUAGGUAAAUGCACUGAAUAUGACCUGUCUCACUUCAGUGGGUUGUUAGUUCUUCUUUAGAUCAGAUCUUUACUGGUUGUCUCACCCCCUUUCUUUACGGAGCUCCCCACUCCCCGUGCUCUUCACAGGCAAGCAUGCUGGCUUUCUUUGUAAAUAGCCUUACAUAUGUUCUUGUCCCCUGUGCCUGGUCAUGAGGCCAUCCUUCAGACAACUCCUGCCUUCCCCGUGCCUAAAACUACUCUCUUUCUCCGAGGUCUCACAUUCAGACGUCCUAUGAUGGCUUCUGUAACCUCACGUGCCUCUCUCUGCACAUCAGCAUCACCCAUGUGUGGGUUUCGAUCCCACCACAGAGCAUCCAGUGUUCCCCGCUUUGUGUUCGGGAAUUCUCUCUCCUCAGGGUUAUAUGCACUCUCAGUUCAGGAGACAGACGUUUUGCUUGAUGAUAGGAUGCACUGGUAUCUAAGCAACUGACAUCUUUCUUCUCCUUAAGCCGGGGUAUAAAAUCCACACAUAGAGCAACAGUUGCUACCUGUUGAGCCAGAGCCUGGCUGGAGGGGAAGCCCCAUUUUAUCUCCAUUCUGAGUCCCCGGAAGGCCAGCCCCAGCUUUCUUAAGUGGAGAGAACUUCAUUCAUUUCCUAAUGGGUCAUACUUGGGGAAAGACUGGAGUUUCUUCAUUUUAGUGUCAGGCCAGUAAGGGGUUGCAAAGUACAGAGUAAGGAAUGAGGGUAAAGCAAGAGGGAUUGGCCCACCAGUGGGAUUUGAGGACUGUCUCUUACAUGGAGGCUGGGAUGGGGAGACUGGAGCAGAAGCCGAGGCAAUCAAACACGCCCCUCACAGUUUUGAUCCGGCUCUCACCUGUUUGAAAGGAAAACAUCUGGCUUGUCUUCCAUUGACCCUGAUGUAAAUGGGUAAAGGAUUUCAGGGCACAUUCCUGAUAGUUCCCUGAGGGACUUCCUAACAAAGGGGUGGAGCCAAGUAGCUCUUGGAAUGGUCUCCCAUCAUAGACAUUGCACUUAGAGUUUGAGCUAUACGAAUAAUUCAGAUGCUACACUGUAAGCCCUAAAUAUACCUUAAGCCCACAAACAACGCCCCUUUGUCCAGCUUUAUGCCUGUGUUCCUUUAAAUGGACUUUCUGUUCCUGACCGCACUGUAAUCAGCAGAUAUCCCUACCGUCCCCCCAUUCCCUCCUCCUCCCUUAAAACGGCUCCUUCUAAUAGCUAGCAUCCUGCAGUGACCAAAGCCAUUAGAAGGAUUGCACCAUUACUAUCCUGUCCAGCACACACAUAAUGCCCCAGGGAUUGCCUUUCUUCUUCUUUGCUUGAUGCUUUUUUGUGGAUGAAAUCGGGGCCCAAUGGUGGGCUGAAAAAAAAAAAAACCGAAGAGGGCAGAAGGUGACAGUAAUUCGUUUCAAGGGCACCUCCCAAACAGCUUUCCCCACUUGAGAUUCCUUUGUGAAGGUGACGGCAGAUGUCAGCCUUGUGGAUAAAGCAGGCUCUGAAAGCACGCGGACAGGUUGCAGACCUCUGUUCCUCGUUACCAUAAUAUUGAAUGCUCAUCUUUUCCCAAGCACGACAGCGAAUAUGUGCUCUGCCUGCUAGCUCACUGUUGUUUGUGCUGGAAAGAACCCGGGCCCAGCCCAGAGCCACGUUGCAGGGCUCAGGACUGCUCUGAAACACUGCCACCUAGUGGCGUGAUGAGGGUUGUAGCUCAGGAAUCCUGGGAGAAGCAUGGAAGAAUCUUCUAGCAUGUGGGGACUCUCGGGACCCAAGAGGGAGAGUAACUCCUAAAGACGUGGAGGCUUCUAGUGCUUCAGGACAGACAAUGGGUCUGAAAUUCUUGCUUGGGGCCAUAUGGAUUGGCCGCGCAGGGAGGAAAUUAUAUUCAGCUUUCUGUUUCUGCUCAACUCUUUCCACUGGGUAAGUGGGCCCUUUGAAGUGGCACUUGCCUUACCUCACAUUCUGACAGGAAUGACUGAUCGCCUUUCAGUCCACACAAGAUAAGGAGCCACGUCGGAGCUGUCUUAACUAAACAAUAGCGAACCACCCAGAGCACUCUUCCAAGACGGGAGAGAAUUCCCCACAUGUGUUAAGCAUUUUAUUCUUCCCAAAUGCAUUACUCUGUAUUAUUGUGUUAAAUUGGAUAAUGUCGACAUGAAAGGGCCGUGUCAAUUGUAUCAGAUAACAAAAAAGUAAGAUUUUGUAACAAUUAUGGAUUUGAUUUUUCUACCCAGACAUCUGAGGCCCUGCAAGAGAAUGUUAAGAGCCUUAAAUUGCCCACUAAUGGGAAACUAUGCUCUGAGUGCGGUCUCUUUUCUAAUCUUGGCUGUGUUUUCUCUUCUGCAACAGAUGUCAUCCACCUGGGGAUGUCAAAAGAGAAAAUACAGGGCGCUGGGCAGAUGGCUCAGUGGCUAAGAGCACUGACAGCUCUGGCAGACAAGCCAGGUUUGGUUCCCGGCACUUAUGUGGGUGUUCAAAACCAUCAGUGACUCCCAUGCCAAGAGAUCUAGCGCCCUCUUCUGGCUUUCCAUGGACACUGCAAGUAUGCAGUGCACAUACAUACAUGCAGGCAAACACUCAUAUACAUAUAAUGAAAACAAUGAAACCCAGGCAGGGUUAGGGGUAGAAGAUGUUGGUGGAAUAAUAUGGAAGAGAAUACAACAAAUCUACUCUUGAAGAUCUUGACUGGUGUCUCUUGUGGCUCUAGCUUCAGGCUGCUGACCAAGAGGGCAGAUUGUAUUUAUAGCCAGAGAAAAGGAAGUAAGAUAAAGAAAUCGGACUUGACAUAGAGACAAUCUGACAGUCACUGCUUGUGUCUGUCUUAUUUGAGCUGUUCGACUGGCUGGCUGUUGGUGACAGGCAAAGGCUCUGUAACUUAUCACAAAGUGACUUCCAUGUCACCUUAAGCUGCAGUUCAGAAACCUUUGACCAAACUUUAAAAUGCAGCCCUGUAUGGGUACUUUUAGGCCAACUUGACCCAAGCUACAGUCUUCUAAGAGGAAGGUGCUUCAGUUGAGAACAUCUCUCUGUAAGAUUAGGUUGUAGGUAGGCCUGUGGGGCAUUUUCUUAAUUAGUGAUUGAUGGGGGAGGGCCCAGUCCAUUGUGGGUGGUGCCAUCCCUGGGCUGGUGGUCCUGGGUUCUAUAAGAAAGCAGGCCAAGCAAGCCAUGGGGAGCAAGCCAGUAAGCAGCACCCUUCCAUGGCCUCUGCAUCAUCUCCUGCCUCCAGGUUCCUGCCCUGCUUGAGUUCCUGUCCUGACUUCCUUCAAUGAUGAACAGCAAUGUGGAAGUAUAAGCCAAAUAAACCAUUUCUUCCCAAAUUGCCUUUUCAUUGCAGCAAUAGGAACUUUGACUUAGACACUGCCAGACAGCUUUAACCCAAAUAUUGACUUCAAUAGGUACAACCGUAGUGGAGAUAAGAACUCCCUUGAACCCUCUCAAAGACUUCCCUGGAGUGGGGCUGUUUGGAGCCUUUCCUGAUCUGGUUUGCCUCUAACUCACCCUACUGUCUCCCCUCAAAGCUAUUUACUUUUUCUCUGGCUUAAUUGCUGUUUAUCAAGACUCAGGAAAAUUCUUGGCAAGCCUGGAUUCAAAGAAAACCUUUAGAGGUGAUGAACGGAGCAAGGAGCCUUUGGAGAAUCAGUUCACAGGACCAGAAGAGGUCAGACUGACUCGGGCUGGUGUGUGAUUGAAUCCCAUAUGUGGACAAAAAAGGGGGAAGUGUCAUAGAUUGGGGCAAACCAUGGAGACUGGCUGGCCACUCAGCUGAAGUGACUGCCUGACACUCAGUGGUUAGUUAUAAAUUCUCCAAUUAGGUUUUAAGGUUGUGAGCUGAGUUUGGUUGCAGUUCACAUGCAGGACUGUACUGAGGAUUCGAAAAUUCUGUUCUGUUUAACUCAACACCGCCAAGACCACUGAACCCUGGAUAGUGAUGGAUAAUCCAUGACUUAGUUAGGGUUUUACUGCUCUGAACAGACACCAUGGCCAAGGCAACUCUUAUAAGGACAACACUUAAUUGGGGUUGGUUUACAGGUUCAGAGGUUCAGUCCAUUAUCAUCAAGGCAGGAACAUGGCAGCAUCCAGGCAGACAUGGUGCAGGAGGAGCUGAGAGUUCUACAUCUUUAUCUGAAGGCGGCUAGCAGAAUACUGGCUUCCAGGCAGUUAGGGUGAGGGUCUUAAAGAUCACAGUGACACACUACUCCAACAAGGCUACACCUCCAAAUAGUGCCACUCCCUGGGCCAAGCAUAUACAAACGAUUACAAUUCACUUUUUGGAAUAUUACUAUAUUUACAUAAGAAUAAAUAGUGUGUGACCCUUAUGUGAGUGGCUUAGACUCAUCACAGAGAAACAGAGGUUACUAGGGGCUGCAGAAAAAUUGAAGUGGCUAUGUGUGCAUGUGUGUGCACGCAUGUAUACUCGAGGACAUGCUCAUGAGUAUGUGUGUG